rnacentral:tRNA from 1 species
GGACCCGUAGCUCAGUUGGAUAGAGCGUCGGACUUCGAAUCCGCAGGCCGGGCGUUCGAGUCGCCCCGGGUCCGCCA